AGCCCAGUGGUGUACUGGUAACACAUCCUCUUCAUUUGAUCAACAGAAGUCCAAGUCGGAGGAAGACCCCUGUUCAAUUCGGGGCUGGGCCA